AGCACUUGUGGGCUAGACUUGCUUUCAGAUGCAUAAAGUAAAGUCUCUUUUACAAUCCAGAACUUAUUGUUCAGUGUGAGUUUUGAUACAUAUAAUAAAGAAUAUU
ensembl:snoRNA